AUUGAACGCUGGCGGCAUGCUUUACACAUGCAAGUCGAACGGUAACAGGCCUUCGGGUGCUGACGAGUGGCGAACGGGUGAGUAAUGCAUCGGAACGUGCCCAGAGGGGGGGGAUAACGCAGCGAAAGCUGUGCUAAUACCGCAUGUGAUCUGAGGAUGAAAGCGGGGGACCAAGCAGCAAUGUUUGGCCUCGCGCCUCUGGAGCGGCCGAUGUCAGAUUAGGUAGUUGGUGGGGUAAAGGCCUACCAAGCCGACGAUCUGUAGCUGGUCUGAGAGGACGACCAGCCACACUGGGACUGAGACACGGCCCAGACUCCUACGGGAGGCAGCAGUGGGGAAUUUUGGACAAUGGGCGCAAGCCUGAUCCAGCAAUGCCGCGUGCGGGAAGAAGGCCUUCGGGUUGUAAACCGCUUUUGUACGGAACGAAAAGGCUCUGGCUAAUACCUGGGGCUGAUGACGGUACCGGAAGAAUAAGCACCGGCUAACUACGUG
rnacentral:rRNA from 1 species